rnacentral:rRNA from 1 species
GACGAACGCUGGCGGCGUGCCUAAUACAUGCAAGUAGAACGCUGAAGGAGGAGCUUGCUCUUCUGGAUGAGUUGCGAACGGGUGAGUAACGCGUAGGUAACCUGCCUGGUAGCGGGGGAUAACUAUUGGAAACGAUAGCUAAUACCGCAUAAUAGUAGAUGUUGCAUGACAUUUGCUUAAAAGGUGCAAUUGCAUCACUACCAGAUGGACCUGCGUUGUAUUAGCUAGUUGGUGAGGUAACGGCUCACCAAGGCAACGAUACAUAGCCGACCUGAGAGGGUGAUCGGCCACACUGGGACUGAGACACGGCCCAGACUCCUACGGGAGGCAGCAGUAGGGAAUCUUCGGCAAUGGACGGAAGUCUGACCGAGCAACGCCGCGUGAGUGAAGAAGGUUUUCGGAUCGUAAAGCUCUGUUGUAAGAGAAGAACGAGUGUGAGAGUGGAAAGUUCACACUGAGACG